AACGAACGCUGGCGGCAUGCCUAACACAUGCAAGUCGAACGAAACCUUCGGGUCUAGGGGCGCACGGGUGCGUAACGCGUGGGAACCUGCCCUUAGGGUCGGCAUAACUCCCCGAAAGGGGUGCUAAUACCGGAUAAUGUCUUCGGACCAAAGAUUUAUCGCCUUUGGAUGGGCCCGCGUUGGAUUAGCUAGUUGGUAGGGUAAAAGCCUACCAAGGCGACGAUCCAUAACUGGUCUGAGAGGAUGAUCAGCCACACUGGGACUGAGACACGGCCCAGACUCCUACGGGAGGCAGCAGUGGGGGAUAUUGGACAAUGGGCGAAAGCCUGAUCCAGCAAUGCCGCGUGAGUGAUGAAGGCCUUAGGGUUGUAAAGCUCUUUUACCCGGGAUGAUAAUGACAGUACCGGGAGAAUAAGCUCCGGCUAACUCCGUG
rnacentral:rRNA from 1 species